AAGAGGUUAAUCUAAAAUAAGACUGCCAAUUUCGGCUUGGCAAAUUGCGAUUAACAUCACAACCUCUUU
rnacentral:tRNA from 1 species